rnacentral:tRNA from 1 species
UCCGUCUUAGCUCAGCUGGUAGAGCGCAUGGCUUUUAAUCAUGUGGUCGUGGGUUCGAAUAUACAGACGGCG